CGCAUGCGCUCCUGAGCGCUCUCCACACGCUGGUUUUGCGUCUUUCCGUACGGUACCUAAGGCGAGAGGUGGCUCGCGUCAGGGGGCGAUUUGGGACCUGGUCGCCGCCACCAUGGGUAAAACGGUUGAUUCUCUGGGUCAGGGAACCCGCCCCGACCCGGUGCGGAGCUUCAAUCGCUGGAAGAAAAAACACAGCCACAGGCAGAACCAAAAGAAGGAGCGGAGGAAGCAGCUGAAGAAGCCGGAAUGGCAGGUCGAGCGCGAGGGGAUCAGCCGCCUGAUGCAGAACUACGAGAAGAUAAAUGUAAAUGAAAUUACAAGAUUUUCAGAUUUCCCUUUGUCCAAAAAAACAUUGAAAGGUUUGCAAGAAGCCCAGUACCGCUUGGUAACAGAGAUACAGAAGCAGACCAUAGGGUUGGCUUUGCAAGGUAAAGAUGUGCUUGGAGCUGCCAAAACUGGAUCUGGCAAGACUUUGGCUUUUCUCAUUCCAGUGUUGGAAGCCUUAUACCGCCUGCAGUGGACUUCAGCAGAUGGCCUGGGGGUUCUGAUAAUUUCACCUACUCGAGAACUGGCCUAUCAGACAUUUGAAGUUCUACGCAAAGUAGGAAAAAAUCAUGACUUUUCAGCUGGUCUCAUCAUUGGUGGAAAGGAUUUGAAACAUGAAGCUGAGAGGAUCAACAACAUAAAUAUACUCGUUUGCACACCAGGUCGACUUCUUCAACACAUGGAUGAAACAAUAUGUUUUCAUGCCACCAAUCUUCAGAUGUUAGUUCUUGAUGAAGCAGAUAGGAUCUUGGACAUGGGCUUUGCUGACACCAUGAAUGCUAUUAUUGAAAAUCUUCCCAAGAAGCGCCAGACUUUACUUUUCUCAGCCACACAGACCAAAUCUGUAAAGGACCUUGCACGCUUAAGUUUGAAAGACCCUGAAUAUGUUUGGGUUCAUGAAAAAGCAAAAUACAGCACCCCUGCUACAUUGGAACAAAACUAUAUAGUUUGUGAGCUGCACCAAAAAAUCAGUGUGCUGUUUUCCUUUUUGAGAAGCCACCUAAAGAAGAAGAGUAUUGUGUUCUUCUCCAGUUGCAAAGAGGUUCAGUACCUGUACAGGGUGUUCUGCCGGCUGCGCCCAGGCAUCUCUAUCCUUGCUCUCCAUGGCCGGCAGCAGCAGAUGAGAAGAAUGGAGGUCUACAACGAGUUUGUCCGAAAGAGGGCUGCGGUGCUUUUUGCUACUGACAUUGCAGCCAGGGGACUGGAUUUUCCAGCUGUGAAUUGGGUUCUUCAGUUUGAUUGUCCAGAGGAUGUUAACACGUAUAUUCACAGAGCUGGUAGAACUGCCAGAUACAAAGAGGAUGGCGAAGCUUUAUUAAUUUUACUACCCUCAGAAGAACAAGGGAUGGUGCAGCAGCUUCUCCAGAAGAAAGUACCUGUGAAGGAGAUCAAAAUCAAUCCAGAAAAACUUAUUGAUGUUCAGAAAAAAUUAGAAUCAUUUUUAGCCCAAGAUCAAGAUUUAAAAGAAAGAGCUCAAAGGUGUUUUGUCUCCUACAUACGUUCAGUAUAUCUUAUGAAGGAUAAAGAAGUAUUUAAUGUGAGCAAGUUACCUCUUACUGAAUAUGCACUGUCUCUUGGUCUUGCUGUGGCACCACGGGUAAGAUUUCUUCAAAAAGUGGAGAAGCAGCCCACCAAAGGAUUGGUAAGGAAUCAAGUCACCGAAGCAAUUCAACCCAGGGCUCCCUCCCUCACCAGUGAUGAAGUAGAAGAAUUUCGAGCUUAUUUCAGUGAGAAAAUGUCCAUCCUUCACAAAAGUGGAAAAAGACUAGAAGAGACAGAACACAGCUUGGCCAAUGGUGAUAGUGAAGAUCAGGACGAAGAUACAGCAGAUGAGGAAAUGGAAGAGCAGCUGGGAAAAGCAAGAGAGCCUCACACUGAACCUGUUCUCAGUGUUGAGGAGGAACAGAAGGAGGUCAAGGAAGCUCCUGUGCAGUUCCUAGACAGAGAUGAUGAGGAGGAAGAUGGGCCUGAUGCUGAUUUCCUCACAGUGAAGCGGCGUGAUGUGUUUGGGUUGGAUCUUAAAGAGAAUGAAGCAUUGUCGAAAAAGGAACCUUCUAAAUCCAGUGUCAAGAAAAAAUUAACCAAAGUUGCAGAAGCAAAAAAAGUAAUGAAGAGAAAUUUUAAAGUGAAUAAGAAAAUAACAUUUACUGAUGAAGGGGAGCUGGUCCAGCAGUGGCCACAGAUUCAGAAAGCAGCUGCAAAAGAUGUGGAGGAAGACGAUGACGACGACACUGGUGGCAUCAACUUAGACAGAGCAAAGGAACGGCUUCAGGAAGAGGACAAAUUCGACAAGGAAGAAUAUAGGAAGAAAAUUAAGGCAAAGCAUCGGGAAAGACGACUAAAAGAAAGAGAAGCCAGAAGAGAAGCCAACAAAAGGCAAACAAAGGCUAGAGAUGAAGAGGAAGCCUUUCUGGACUGGAGUGAUGAAGAUGAGGGUGGGUUUGAUCCCAGCACACUUCCAGAUCCAGAUAAGUACAGAAGUUCUGAAGACUCUGAGAGUGAAGAUAUAAAACCUCAGAUGAGACUUUGUGUUUACUUCUGGGGAUGCAUCCACGAAAAGGUAACAGUUCCAGAGCUCAUGAUCUGGUGGAGGACACAGACAACCAAAUUUGUCAUUGCAUACAGAAGGGUGCCACAGAAGACUCUGAGGACUCAUACAGGAGCUUCAGGAUUCCCUGAGCUUGGAGGGGAGGACCUGAUGGAGACCUCUAAUUUAGACUGUCUCUCUGCAUAAUGUCUGGCUGUGGGUCUUAACAUCUGCUCCCAUCUGCUGCUGGGGGAGCCUCUCUGAUGACAACUGGACACAGCAUUGAUCUGAAACAUGGGACAAAGCGAGCUGAGCUGUGGGCUCUGAUCCUCUCCUGCGUACCUUCAGAAGAAGCUUGAUGGGAAACGCUCAGGAAGGGGAGACGCCUAUCCCCAAGUGAACUGUUCUUGCUCCAUCAUUUCAUCAGUUACUCAGUUCUAUUCAGGUUGGCACUUGUGGCUAGGCAACUGAAAAAUGCCACUUCUCUGCUCCCUUAAGGAUUAUGAGGAGAAUGCCAGAAGACAACGUGAAAAGAAAACAGGCAGGAAAAAAAUCAGAAUGAUCAAAACCAAGGCUGUUAUCAUUCUUAUAGGAAAUGAGUAACGGGCCAGAGUGUGACUGACAUACAUCAAACAUUCAAUCUGUAUUGGUGAAGAACCCUCUAAGCAACCAGGAGAUGUUCUCAUACAGACCAGGAGUCCAUAGAAAAGAGAUUUUGAGUGCAAACACAGACGUCUUGGCACCUCAGCAUGACAAUCAGCUUGCUUUCCUUCCCAACUCUAUUGUCGUAGGUCCUGAACGGUGGCUUUGUCUCUGCUUCACUGUCUAAGACAUUUAUUCCUGAACUGCCACGAGGCAGCAUGCCGGUGGCAUGGCUUUGCUCCUGUAGUUGAUAUGUCUGGGAAGGAGACGAAAUGACUUCCUGUAAAAGCCUCACUGUAAGUGUAAAACAUAAUCCAGUACCUGGAGCUUGCUGUCCCAUCAUCUCCAGAUAAUAUAAUGGUCCUAAGUCCCUAAUAUUCAUGUGUGUGUGUGUGUGUGUGUGUGUGUGUGUGUGUUAAGUAUGUGUGUUUAAGUAUGUACCAUUAAUUUAUCACUAUUAGGGAUGUUGGUAAACCUAAACUAAUAUACACAUUGGUCUUGUAAGAAACAUGAUUGUUUUAUUUAUUUAUUUUAAACUCUGGGGAAUACAAUGGUAGGCUGCCUCAGGCCUCCUUGCCUUUCCUACAUUAAUUUCAUUUAAAUGUCUUUCACAUUUCUUCUUUUAAAGUUGUUUUUAUAUGGAAUACAGUAUGGCAAUUUUGUCCAUGUAUGCAUGUACUAAUCAAGUCAAAGUAAUUAGUGUUUCCAAUUCCUUUUCAAUGUUUUGUAUUUACUUCAAAAUUUUGUAGGACUGGAAUUGAACCUAGGGCCUUAUAGAUGAUGGGGAAACACUCUGCGACCGAACUGUAUCCUAAAGCUUGGGCUUAAUCUCUUCCAGCUAAUUAAGAUGUUUGUCAACAAGUGCAUUGUAUUGUAUAGUACUAAAACUCAUUCUUUCCAUUAUCAUUUUGCUUCCUGUUAUUCAGCCUUUCUCCUCUACUUGUAACCAGUGGUAAUCAUUAUUUUAUAUUCAGACAGACUUUUUUUUUUAGUUACUAUGUGUAAGAGUAAGCAUGCAGUAUGCCUCUUUCUGUGUCUGACAAAGUAAAAUAAUGAUAAUAUUUUAGAGCAAUAGCUUCCAGCUCCAUAUACUUGCAGUGAUGACUAAAGAUAAUUCUUUUUUAUGGCUGAAUCAGUACAUGGGGCUAACAUAGAGUUCAUCUUCUUGAUUUGUUUGUUGACAAAUGUAGUAUGAAUUUUGGCUGUUGUGACCAAUGAUGGAAUAAACACAUGCAACAUCUCUUUCAUA